GUGGGGAAUUUUGGACAAUGGGCGCAAGCCUGAUCCAGCAAUGCCGCGUGCAGGAAGAAGGCCUUCGGGUUGUAAACUGCUUUUGUACGGAACGAAAAGGCUCUGGUUAAUACCUGGGGCUCAUGACGGUACCGUAAGAAUAAGCACCGGCUAACUACGUGCCAGCAGCCGCGGUAAUACGUAGGGUGCAAGCGUUAAUCGGAAUUACUGGGCGUAAAGCGUGCGCAGGCGGUUUUGUAAGACAGACGUGAAAUCCCCGGGCUCAACCUGGGAAUGGCGUUUGUGACUGCAAAGCUGGAGUGCGGCAGAGGGGGAUGGAAUUCCGCGUGUAGCAGUGAAAUGCGUAGAUAUGCGGAGGAACACCGAUGGCGAAGGCAAUCCCCUGGGCCUGCACUGACGCUCAUGCACGAAAGCAUGGGGAGCAAACAGGAUUAGAAACCCCAGUAGUCC
rnacentral:rRNA from 1 species